GGCCUUCGGGUUGUAAACCUCUUUCUGCAGGGAAGAAGUCAAGUGACGGUACCUGCAGAAGAAGCACCGGCUAACUACGUGCCAGCAGCCGCGUUAAUACGUAGGGUGCGAGCGUUGUCCGGAAUUAUUGGGCGUAAAGAGCUCGUAGGCGGCUUGUCGGUCUGAUGUGAAAGCCCGGGGCUUAACCCCGGGUUUGCAUUCGAUACGGGCAGGCUAGAGUUCGGUAGGGGAGAUCGGAAUUCCUGGUGUAGCGGUGAAAUGCGCAGAUAUCAGGAGGAACACCGGUGGCGAAGGCGGAUCUCUGGGCCGAUACUGACGCUGAGGAGCGAAAGCGUGGGGGGGCGAACAGGAUUAGAUACCCUGGUAGCCCCCGCCGUAAACGUUGGGAACUAGGUGGGGGGCGACAUUCCACGUCGUCCGGCCGCAGCUAACGCAUUAAGUUCCCCGCCUGGGGAGUACGGCCGCAAGGUUAAAACUCAAAGGAAUUGAGGGGGGCCCGCACAACGGGGGAACAUGUGGUUUAUUCGACGAACGGGAAGAACUUUACCAGG
rnacentral:rRNA from 1 species